rnacentral:rRNA from 1 species
CCUACUGGCGGCAGCAGUGAGGAAUAUUGGUCAAUGGACGAAAGUCUGAACCAGCCAAGCCGCGUGAAUGAUGACUGCCCUAUGAUUUGUAAACUUCUUUUAUAAAGGAAUACACCUAGGCCCGUGUGCCUCUUUGCAUGUACUUUAUGAAUAAGGAUCGGCUAACUCCGUUCCAGCAGCCGCGGUAAUACGGAGGAUCCGAGCGUUAUCAGGAUUUAUUGGUUUUAAAGGGAGCGUAGAUGGUUUGUUAAUUCAGUUGUGAAAGGUCGCGGCUCAACCCGAAAAUUGCAAUUGAUACUGGCAGUCUUGAGUACAGUUGAGGUAGGCGGAAUUUGUGGUGGAGCGGUGAAAUGCGUAGAUAUCAGGAAGAACACCGAUUGCGAAGGCAGCUUACUAACAUAUAACUGACGUUGAGGAUCGAAAGUGUGGGUAGCAAACAGGAGUAGAUACCCGAGUAGUC